GACGAACGCUGGCGGCGUGCUUAACACAUGCAAGUCGAACGGAAAGGCCCUGCUUUUGUGGGGUGCUCGAGUGGCGAACGGGUGAGUAACACGUGAGUAACCUGCCCUUGACUUUGGGAUAACUUCAGGAAACUGGGGCUAAUACCGGAUAGGAGCUCCUGCUGCAUGUUGGGGGUUGGAAAGUUUCGGCGGUUGGGGAUGGACUCGCGGCUUAUCAGCUUGUCGGUGGGGUAGUGGCUUACCAAGGCUUUGACGGGUAGCCGGCCUGAGAGGGUGACCGGCCACAUUGGGACUGGGAUACGGCCCAGACUGCUACGGGAGGCAGCAGUGGGGAAUAUUGCACAAUGGGCGGAAGCCUGAUGCAGCAACGCCGCGUGCGGGAUGACGGCCUUCGGGUUGUAAACCGCUUUCGCCUGUGACGAAGCGUGAGUGACGGUAAUGGGUAAAGAAGCACCGGCUAACUACGUG
rnacentral:rRNA from 1 species